UACGUAGGGUGCAAGCGUUAUCCGGAAUUAUUGGGCGUAAAGAGCUCGUAGGCGGUUUGUCGCGUCUGCUGUGAAAACCCGAGGCUCAACCUCGGGCCUGCAGUGGGUACGGGCAGACUAGAGUGCGGUAGGGGAGAUUGGAAUUCCUGGUGUAGCGGUGGAAUGCGCAGAUAUCAGGAGGAACACCGGUGGCGAAGGCGGUUCUCUGGGCCUGUACUGACGCUGAGGAACGAAAGCGUGGGGAGCGAACAGG
rnacentral:rRNA from 1 species